rnacentral:rRNA from 1 species
GUAGGUGGCAAGCGUUGUCCGGAAUUAUUGGGCGUAAAGCGCGCGCAGGCGGGGUUUUUAAGUCUGAUGUGAAAGCCCACGGGCUCAACCGUGGAGGGUCAUUGGAAACUGGAGAACUUGAGUACAGAAGAGGAAAGCGGAAUUCCACGUGUAGCGGUGAAAUGCGUAGAGAUGUGGAGGAACACCGGUGGCGAAGGCGGCUUUCUGGUCUGUAACUGACGCUGAGGCGCGAAAGCGUGGGGAGCAAACAGGAUUAGAUACCCUGGUAGUCCACGCCGUAAACGAUGAGUGCUAAGUGUUAGGGGGUUUCCGCCCCUUAGUGCUGCAGCUAACGCAUUAAGCACUCCGCCUGGGGAGUACGGCCGCAAAGGCUG